ACUCUGAUUGGUCAGAUUGGCCAGUGCUCAUCCCUGAGCCAAUCCCUGUUGCAAGGCGCUGGGGUGUUCUGAUUGGCCGGGCCUGGGUCACAUGUUCAUCCCGCCUGUGGGUGGGGUCUAUUACCGAAAGAAAGGGGUUGAAGCAAGCCAGCUGGGGUCAAGACAGAUGUCCACCAGCAGGUAGCCAGGCCCCAGCAAGUGAGGCAGAGACCUGCCUGCAGGGCUGGGGCACCGACAGAGGGAGGAAGUGUCUUAGAAACAAGCGGACAAGCUCUAUGAAGCUGACAGACAAGGUAGACUCCCUGAGCCAUCGUCUCUUAGUGGUGGCUGGUAGGUGAGGGACAGAGCGAAGCAGGGCUGCUGGACUCUUCAUCAUCUUGAUUCCUCAAGGUGCCCAGAUGGCUGCUACAGUUCCAGCCCUCACAUGCUAACAACUGUAAGAGGCAGAAGAGGAACAUCUAUUUCUAGGGAUUCUUUUGAAAACAGAGGAGAACUUUACCAAAAAUAACCCCAGUGUAUUUGCCCCCUGUGUCUCAUUGAUCAGGGACUCUUGGGAGUCCCUUGGACUGCAAGGAGAUCAAACCAGUCUACCCCAAAGGAAAUCAAUUCUGAUAUUUAUUGGAGGGACUGUUGCUGAAGCUGAAGCUCCAGUACUUUGGCCACCUGAU